rnacentral:lncRNA from 1 species
AAUUCAACCACAGGGGUCACUGGCUUCUGUGGAACGAGAUCGCUUUUAUCCAAAACAAAAUCCAUUUAUUUUAAUGGCAAUCCAUUCAGCACCUCCACAUGCAGGUGCUUACAAAUCUAUAGUUACCAGCAAGCAUGACAGCAACAAUGUCAGAAUUCCUCACACUGGUUUCACCACCCUGUUUUUACAUCAAGGAGUUCUAGGGGGCUUCUCUGUCAUUCGCAUGGUCAGCUCCUCUUUGGAUCUAGGAGUCACUUCAGACAGCAUCCCCUCCCCCUCCUCAUCUUUUUCUAAAUGAAGAUUUAUUAUUUUC